CGGCGACCGGCAAACGGGUGCGGAACACGUACGCAACCUUCCUCAGAGCGGGAUAGCCUCUCGAAAGAGAGAUUAAUACCCCAUAGUAUCUCGGAUUCACAUGGAUCUGAGAUUAAAGCUCCGGCACUUUGAGAUGGGCGUGCGGCUGAUUAGGUAGUUGGUAGGUAACGGCCUACCAAGCCAACGAUCAGUAGCUGAUGUGAGAGCAUGAUCAGCCACACGGGCACUGAGACACGGGCCGACUCCUACGGGAGGCAGCAGUGAGGAAUAUUGGUCAAUGGAGGCAACUCUGAACCAGCCAUGCCCGCGUGAAGGAUGAAGGUCCUCUGGAUUGUAAACUUCUUUUAUAGAAGAAGAAACCCCAUUUUUCUAAGUGGGUUGACGGUACUCUAUGAAUAAGCAUCGGCUAACUCCGUG
rnacentral:rRNA from 1 species